rnacentral:tRNA from 1 species
GGGCCUCUAACUCAAUUGGUCAAGAGUUCCGGCCUUUUAAGCCGGCGGUCCGGGUUCGAGUCCCGGGGGGCCCA